rfam:Mesorhizobium sp. TASWS1009 41, whole genome shotgun sequence.
AUGGCCGAUUCCAAGCUGCCGGACAUCCAGUCCGGUUUCGAAAAGGGCAUUACCGACGUGAUGGCCGGCCUGUCGGGGCUGAACCUGAUUUAUGAAUCGG